CAGAGCAUCAUGCCCUUCGGGGUAGAUCUCCCACCCUAUGUAUUACAUACCUUUUGUUGCUUUGGCAGGCCGCUUCGGCCACCGGCUUCGGCUGGUGCGUGCCUGCCAGAGGACCCCAAACUCUGAAUGUUAGUGUCGUCUGAGAUUUUUUUAAUAAAUCA
rnacentral:misc_RNA from 1 species